rnacentral:rRNA from 1 species
AUUGAACGCUAGCGGGAUGCUUUACACAUGCAAGUCGAACGAGUGGCGGACGGGUGAGUAAUAUAUGGGAACGUGCCCAGUGGCGGGGGAUAACUACUGGAAACAGUGGCUAAUACCGCAUACUAUUGGAGCUGCCCAUAUGGGAUUAGCUAGUAGGUGGGGUAAUGGCUCACCUAGGCGACGAUCCCUAGCUGGUUUGAGAGGACGACCAGCCACACUGGGACUGAGACACGGCCCAGACUCCUACGGGAGGCAGCAGUGGGGAAUAUUGCACAAUGGGCGCAAGCCUGAUGCAGCCAUGCCGCGUGUAUGAAGAAGGCCUUCGGGUUGUAAAGUACUUUCAGCAAGGAGGCGGUACUCGCAGAAGAAGCACCGGCUAACUCCGUGCCAGCAGCCGCGGUAAUAC